rnacentral:rRNA from 1 species
CUAGUAAUGGCAGGUCAGCAUACUGCCGUGAAUACGUUCCCGGGCCUUGUACACACCGCCCGUCACACCAUGAGAGUUGGGAAUACCCGAAGCCUGUGAGCUAACUUAUAGAGGCAGCAGUCGAAGGUAGAAUCAAUGAUUGGGGUGAAGUCGUAACAAGGUAGC